UUGAUCUCCUACUAGUUUAUUGUCUACCAUUUUAUAACUAUUAAAAUUUGAGACAGUAAACCGAUCAAUGCCAGCAUCUAUCAUCCCAUAUUCAGCCUCUAAAGCAUCCCAAAGUUCUUUUGCACUUGAGGUAGUGGCAUGAUACACAUCAUAAAGGUGGUCAGACAAAGCACUAAGUAUUCUAUUAUAGCAGUGGUACUCUACUUGCUCAUUAGU
rnacentral:lncRNA from 1 species